UCCUACGGGAGGCAGCAGUGGGGAAUCUUCCGCAAUGGGGCGCAAGCCUGACGGAGCAACGCCGCGUGAGUGAAGAAGGGUUUCGACUCGUAAAGCUCUGUUGUCGGGGACGAAUGUGGAGAUGGUGAAUAACCAUUUUCAAUGACGGUACCUGAGAGGAAGCCACGGCUAACUACGUGC
rnacentral:rRNA from 1 species